GAUUUGCUACGGCGUUGGUGACUGCCAAUAAUGUUUUAUGAUCUACAAAUCAACAUAAACGGGAGUCGUGAUGUUCCAGUGGCAGUAAACCGGGCUUGUACCCGGAAACUUAAAACUGGAGCCGAGAUUUCCACCUGGAAUUUUCCAGGUCAAAAGCUGAGGUAAGACGGCGCUGCGGUGGAUCC
rnacentral:other from 1 species